rnacentral:rRNA from 1 species
CAACGAGAGGGCGGAGUCCCAUAUGCCAUUAUUGCAGCUGCGGAGGUCGCAAUUCCUCUCUCUUGGAUAAGCAUCGCUCCGCCUCUUCGCCUUCGUAUAAGCGAAACUCCUGUCCGUUUCACAUAUCCCGCUCCCGCCACGACCGUGCGCGCGCUCCAGCCUCCAGGGGUAGCCAAGCUCGCAAGAAUCGUCGCCAGCGAGGAGGAAGACGAGGAGGAGCGCCAUGGCGAGCGUGGUCAUCGAGAGCCACGACUCCGCGGUGGCCGGCGGCGGGGACGUGGUGUUCUGCGUCAUCAUCCUGUGCAUGUCCGUGCUGUCCUUGGUCAUCUUGGCGGCCUCCUCUGCCGUCGGCAGCGGCGACGGGGAAGAGGAAGGGAGGCUGCGGCGGCGCUCCGCCUCACGCGGGAACGGGCCGGUGUUCGUGGGCGGCAGGGGCUGCGCCUGCGGCGGCUGCCGCGCCGGCGCCGGCGUCUGCGGCACCUACCUCUCGUGAUCACCGCCGACCGUGCACGCGCCGCGCGCGCACUCCACAUGUACAUACAGCGUGGACGCACUCACCGCAUAACGUAAGGAGGAGCAUCGAUCGGAGCUCUCGCCAGGCUUGCGCAUGGCUACUCCGUUCUUCCUUUUCCUCUGUUUGUACUCCCUAAAGUAGUAUAAGACGUUUUAGAUCACUAAAAGGCAUAUUACUUACUACUGAUAGAUGCACAUCCUGUGAUGUGAAUAAGCUGCAAGAGCAUGGAGUGUUUUAUCUGUUCCUUGAAUAAUCA